rnacentral:rRNA from 1 species
AAAGCAGCAAUGCGCUGGGUGAGGGGCCUGCGUCCGAUUAGCUGGUUGGUGGGGUAACGGCCUACCAAAGCCAAGAUCGGUAGCCGGCCUGAGAGGGCACACGGCCACACUGGCACUGAAACACGGGCCAGACUCCUACGGGAGGCAGCAGUGGGGAAUCUUGCACAAUGGGGGAAACCCUGAUGCAGCGACGCCGCGUGAGCGAUGAAGCCCUUCGGGGUGUAAAGCUCUUUCGGCAGGGAAGAUGAUGACGGUACCUGCANAAGCAGCUGCGGCUAACUACGUGCCAGCAGCCGCGGUAAUACGUAGGCAGCGAGCGUUGUUCGGAGUUAAUGGGCGUAAAGGGUGUGUAGGCGGUUGUCUAACUUUGGUGUGAAAUUCCCGGCUCCACCGGGAGGG